AUUGGCAACAUCUUCUGAUUUCAGAAAAACAUUAUGGCGCUAAAACUCGUAAGUGUGAUUUUGGUGAUUUUUAUUACCAUUGCGGUCCUAAUGUCAGUGGUGCUUGCAUCCAAUGAUAUAGAUGAAAUUGACACUAAGGCUAAAUGUGCCGGAAUUUUUCGAAAAUGCAAAAAGGACAACGAUUGCUGUAGCGUAUUGAUAUGUUCCAGAUUUCUUUCCUUUUGCAGAUUGUAGAUUCAUUACAUUAAAGGUCAAUAAUGCUAACAACUGAAACGGCCAAUUGUUAUUAAAAAAAAACUUAUAAAAUGUAAAAGUUAAAAUAAAAGUUUAUUGUAGAGUUA